UCGGGAAUUUUGGGCAAUGGGCGAAAGCCUGACCCAGCAACGCCGCGUGAAGGAUGAAGUCUCUCGGGAUGUAAACUUCGUAAGAAUAGGAAGAAUAAAUGACGGUACUAUUUGUAAGGUCCGGCUAACUACGUGCCAGCAGCCGCGGUAAUACGUAGGGACCAAGCGUUGUUCGGAUUUACUGGGCGUAAAGGGCGCGUAGGCGGCAAUUCAAGUCAUCUGUGAAAUCUCCGGGCUUAACUCGGAACGGUCAGAUGAUACUGCUUUGCUAGAGUGCAGAAGGGGCAAUCGGAAUUCUUGGUGUAGCGGUGAAAUGCGUAGAUAUCAAGAGGAACACCUGAGGUGAAGACGGGUUGCUGGGCUGACACUGACGCUGAGGUGCGAAAGCGUGGGGAGCAAACAGGAUUAGAUACCCCAGUAGUCCCUGAGCGGGCUGGCAAGGCGCAU
rnacentral:rRNA from 1 species